GACGACGCUGGGCGGCGUGCCUGACACAUGCAAGUCGGACGGUUCUUGCACCUUCAAGCUUGCUUGCUGGUGCAGGGAUAGUGGCGGACGGGUGAGUAACGCGUGAACAUCUACCCAUUGGAGGGGGACAACCCGUCGAAAGGCGGGCUAAUACCGCGUAAGCCGUGAGGUGAGAGGCUGCCUAUUGGUGGCCGCCGAUGGAUGGGUUCGCGUCCUAUCAGCUGGUUGGUGGGGUAACGGCCUACCAAGGCGAAGACGGGUAGCCGGUCUGAGAGGAUGGCCGGCCACACUGGAACUGAGACACGGUCCAGACUCCUACGGGAGGCAGCAGUGGGGAAUAUUGGGCAAUGGGGGUAACCCUGACCCAGCGACGCCGCGUGAGGGACGAAGGUUUUCGGAUCGUAAACCUCUGUUGUACGGGAAGAAGGAAUUGACGGUACCGUACGAGAAAGCCCCGGCAAACUACGUG
rnacentral:rRNA from 1 species